GUGCUAGCUUGAGCAGCAUAUAUACUAAAAUUGAAACAGUACAGGGAAGAUUACCUGGCCCUUGCACAAGGAUGACACACGAAUUUGUGAAGCAUUCCAUAUUUCU